CAGCAGUCCUGUUCCAUGCGGAAUCCUCUCCAUUUGAAUGUAGCUUUUGAACCUCAGAAGAAAGCUGAGUAGCCUGCAUAUGUGUGAAAACUGCAGUGGUCUGUCUGGUCCAGAUGUUCCCUGGAAUCCUGCGGAAUUGCUCAUGCUGAUAUCUGUACCUUUUCCUUUGCUGGAAUGGAAUGAAGGCACAUUUGAGAGAGGGUCAGACAUGUACCCAUUGGCAGCUGUGGGCUCCUGAGCAUUUUCCAAGCCAGCGCUGGCAUAUCUCUGUUCGGUGGAUCCCCAGGUUACAUACAGACAUUGGCAGGACUGAAGCCCAUUCUCUGUUGCAGAAAGAGUACAGUAGGCUGGGAUCUGAGGACACAAAAAAGGAAAAUAAUCUGAGCAAAAGAGAGAUUUGAUUUAGAAAACUCAGUGACUGUAUCAAAUGUUAUAACAUUUGGUUACAAUGUGCUGUGAGAGUUUUGUUUCCAAAUAUAACUUAAGUUCCUUUUUCUGGUGUAAGAGGAGUUCCUAUUUAUUUGGUAGAGGGUUGAUAAUUCAGUCUCAGUGACUUGUGCAAUUUUAGGAAUUGUUGUUAUUGUUUUUAUUGCUAAGUUAUCUGAUUUGGUAGUAUAUAAAUGCUAAGUUAAAGCACAGCCAAUUUUAGUAUUUUGUGUAAACUGGGCAUUACCUUCAUUCUUACAUUACUAUUCUGGUCUCUAUUUUAUUUAUUUCAGAUUUAACUUUGUUACUUCCUUGUACUACUAAAUUUCAUCUAAGUUUUUUCCUUUCCUUGUUUCUCAUGGAAAGUAAGUUUAAUUCCAACUCUCUCUCUCUUUUUUUUUUUUGUUUUUAAAGAUUUAAUUUAUUUAUUUGACUGACAGAGAUCACAAGUAGGUAGAGAGGCAGGUAGAGAGAGGAGAGGAGGAAGCAGGCUCCCUCUCAGCAGCUGUCUCUUAUACACAUCUAGAUGUGUAUAAGAGACAGCUCUCAAGCAGAGAGCCCAAAGUGUGACUCGAACCCAGGACCCUGAGAUCAUGACCUGAGCUGGAGGCAGAUGCUGAACACACUGACCCAUCCAAGCACCUUUCCAGCUGUUUUUGUUUUUUUUUUUUAACUCAGCCAUGUAUUGCAUUAAAAAAAAAAAUUGUAAAUGGAAAGUGUUGCAGACAAUGUUUAGCAGAAAUAAACAAAACAAACAAUAGAUAAAAAUCA
rnacentral:lncRNA from 1 species